rnacentral:rRNA from 1 species
CCGGCGACCGGCGCACGAGUGAGUAACACGUAUGCAACCUGCCCUCCGCAGGGGGAUAACCCGGAGAAAUCCGGACUAAUACCGCGUGGUACACCAGUGGGGCAUCCCACGGGUGUUAAAAGGAAGCGAUUCCGGCGGAGGAUGGGCAUGCGGCGCAUUAGCUUGUUGGCGGGGUAACGGCCCACCAAGGCGACGAUGCGUAGGGGUUCUGAGAGGAAGGUCCCCCACACUGGUACUGAGACACGGACCAGACUCCUACGGGAGGCAGCAG